ACGAGGGGGGCAAGCGUUGUUCGGAAUUAUUGGGCGUAAAGGGCGCGUAGGCGGUGCGGUAAGUCACCUGUGAAAUCUCCGGGCUUAACUCGGAGCCUGCAGGCGAAACUGCCGUGCUUGAGUGCGGUAGAGGGCAGUGGAAUACCCGGUGUAGCAGUGAAAUGCGUAGAGAUCGGGAGGAACAUCUGUGGCGAAGGCGACUGCCUGGACCAGCACUGACACUGAGGCACGAAGGCGUGGGGAGCAAACAGGA
rnacentral:rRNA from 1 species